ACCGAUAGUGAACCAGUACCGUGAGGGAAAGGCGAAAAGAACCCCGGCGAGGGGAGUGAAAAAGAACCUGAAACCGUGUACGUACAAGCAGUGGGAGCCUCUUAAUGGGGUGACUGCGUACCUUUUGUAUAAUGGGUCAGCGACUUAUAUUCUGUAGCAAGGUUAACCGAAUAGGGGAGCCGAAGGGAAACCGAGUCUUAACUGGGCGUUAAGUUGCAGGGUAUAGACCCGAAACCCGGUGAUCUAGCCAUGGGCAGGUUGAAGGUUGGGUAACACUAACUGGAGGACCGAACCGACUAAUGUUGAAAAAUUAGCGGAUGACUUGUGGCUGGGGGUGAAAGGCCAAUCAAACCGGGAGAUAGCUGGUUCUCCCCGAAAGCUAUUUAGGUAGCGCCUCGUGAAUUCAUCUCCGGGGGUAGAGCACUGUUUCGGCAAGGGGGUCAUCCCGACUUACCAACCCGAUGCAAACUGCGAAUACCGGAGAAUGUUAUCACGGGAGACACACGGCGGGUGCUAACGUCCGUCGUGAAGAGGGAAACAACCCAGACCGCCAGCUAAGGUCCCAAAGUCAUGGUUAAGUGGGAAACGAUGUGGGAAGGCCCAGACAGCCAGGAUGUUGGCUUAGAAGCAGCCAUCAUUUAAAGAAAGCGUAAUAGCUCACUGGUCGAGUCGGCCUGCGCGGAAGAUGUAACGGGGCUAAACCAUGCACCGAAGCUGCGGCAGCGACACUAUGUGUUGUUGGGUAGGGGAGCGUUCUGUAAGCCUGUGAAGGUGGCCUGUGAGGGUUGCUGGAGGUAUCAGAAGUGCGAAUGCUGACAUAAGUAACGAUAAAGCGGGUGAAAAGCCCGCUCGCCGGAAGACCAAGGGUUCCUGUCCAACGUUAAUCGGGGCAGGGUGAGUCGACCCCUAAGGCGAGGCCGAAAGGCGUAGUCGAUGGGAAACAGGUUAAUAUUCCUGUACUUGGUGUUACUGCGAAGGGGGGACGGAGAAGGCUAUGUUGGCCGGGCGACGGUUGUCCCGGUUUAAGCGUGUAGGCUGGUUUUCCAGGCAAAUCCGGAAAAUCAAGGCUGAGGCGUGAUGACGAGGCACUACGGUGCUGAAGCGACAAAUGCCCUGCUUCCAGGAAAAGCCUCUAAGCAUCAGGUAACAUCAAAUCGUACCCCAAACCGACACAGGUGGUCAGGUAGAGAAUACCAAGGCGCUUGAGAGAACUCGGGUGAAGGAACUAGGCAAAAUGGUGCCGUAACUUCGGGAGAAGGCACGCUGAUAUGUAGGUGAAGCGACUUGCUCGUGGAGCUGAAAUCAGUCGAAGAUACCAGCUGGCUGCAACUGUUUAUUAAAAACACAGCACUGUGCAAACACGAAAGUGGACGUAUACGGUGUGACGCCUGCCCGGUGCCGGAAGGUUAAUUGAUGGGGUUAGCGGUAACGCGAAGCUCUUGAUCGAAGCCCCGGUAAACGGCGGCCGUAACUAUAACGGUCCUAAGGUAGCGAAAUUCCUUGUCGGGUAAGUUCCGACCUGCACGAAUGGCGUAAUGAUGGCCAGGCUGUCUCCACCCGAGACUCAGUGAAAUUGAACUCGCUGUGAAGAUGCAGUGUACCCGCGGCAAGACGGAAAGACCCCGUGAACCUUUACUAUAGCUUGACACUGAACAUUGAGCCUUGAUGUGUAGGAUAGGUGGGAGGCUUUGAAGUGUGGACGCCAGUCUGCAUGGAGCCGACCUUGAAAUACCACCCUUUAAUGUUUGAUGUUCUAACGUGGGCCCCUUACCGGGGUUGCGGACAGUGUCUGGUGGGUAGUUUGACUGGGGCGGUCUCCUCCUAAAGAGUAACGGAGGAGCACGAAGGUUGGCUAAUCCUGGUCGGACAUCAGGAGGUUAGUGCAAUGGCAUAAGCCAGCUUGACUGCGAGCGUGACGGCGCGAGCAGGUGCGAAAGCAGGUCAUAGUGAUCCGGUGGUUCUGAAUGGAAGGGCCAUCGCUCAACGGAUAAAAGGUACUCCGGGGAUAACAGGCUGAUACCGCCCAAGAGUUCAUAUCGACGGCGGUGUUUGGCACCUCGAUGUCGGCUCAUCACAUCCUGGGGCUGAAGUAGGUCCCAAGGGUAUGGCUGUUCGCCAUUUAAAGUGGUACGCGAGCUGGGUUUAGAACGUCGUGAGACAGUUCGGUCCCUAUCUGCCGUGGGCGCUGGAGAACUGAGGGGGGCUGCUCCUAGUACGAGAGGACCGGAGUGGACGCAUCACUGGUGUUCGGGUUGUCAUGCCAAUGGCACUGCCCGGUAGCUAAAUGCGGAAGAGAUAAGUGCUGAAAGCAUCUAAGCACGAAACUUGCCCCGAGAUGAGUUCUCCCUGACUCCUUGAGAGUCCUGAAGGAACGUUGAAGACGACGACGUUGAUAGGCCGGGUGUGUAAGCGCAGCGAUGCGUUGAGCUAACCGGUACUAAUGAACCGUGAGGCUUAACCUUACAACGCCGAAG
rnacentral:rRNA from 1 species